AAACCCUCCCUCAAGGAUCUGGUCAACAAGGCCCUUCUUUUGAGGUGCAAUAGUGGAGGUGAUCUCUAUCCGUUUUCAAGCAAUAAUGGCCGCUCCUCUCCGAUGGUCCUCACCGUCCAGCCGUCCAACUUGUCGCAGACUUGGCCACCCCAGCUCAUCUACUUUAGCUCAUUUUCCCCUUGAUUUCUUAGACUCAUGUAAUAAAGAUGUCCAUGACUCCAUGCUUUGUACUGCAUGCUAGCUUGGCAAAUAUACUCGCCUCCCCUUCCCCACCUCUACAUCGUUCGCCACCGCGCCUUUUCAAUUAGUCCACUGCGAUUUAUGGACAUCGCCAGUUGUUAGCUUUUCCGGUUAUAAUUAUUACCUUGUCAUAUUGGAUGAUUUUUCACAUUAUUCAUGGACAUUUCUUUGCGAGCCAAAUCUGAUACGUCUCGAGCAUGGAGUUUUGUUUUUUAAUUUUGAAAUGCAACCUAACUCCAAAAAGCAUGAAAGUUCAUGUUGGAAAAAAUGUUAAGACGUUUGUCUUCAAAUAAAGUACAAAAGAAAUAGAUUCCAUUUCAUUUAUCCAUGUCCAAGAACGAAUUAAAUUUAGUAAAAUAAAACUAAAAUAAGGAAAAAAAAAGCCACAAAAAUAGUAGUACGUACGUCGGAUUUGAACAAGGACCUCAUUUACAUUUCUAACGCCACAAAACUACAGUUUUAAUCUAAACACACACCGGCCUUUUUAUAGUAGUAGAAGAUAUUUUCUAGCAUGCUGCCUUCUGAUUGGCUGAACCAGACCUCCCACGGAUCACGCCUCUCCACCGUCCAUCCUUAGUUGAUUCAACGGUGCCCGCUCCUUCUACUCUCUAUCUGUGCUUUCCCUGAUUCUUAUCCUCUCACAGCCACACGAACGAGAGCUCCAUGACAGCAGCAGCCGCGCCCGAGGAAAUCCACAGCUCGCAGCCAUCGGACGUCGCCGUCCGCGCGGAGUGCCGCCGCCCGAACCUCCCACCACAGCACGCCGCAAUGGAGGCCGACCGCCCAUGGCAUCGCCCGAGCUCACCUCCCAGCAGUCAUUCUCCUUUGAAUUCGUCGGGAUCCGGCUGGAUCCGGACGCCAGCGCCCCGUUCCUACCUCCCCGCCUCGCUUGGGUCGUCGGCCAGCUCGACGAUGUCAGACUGCUCGCGGGAUCCAGCGCCACCGCUGGCUGGCCACUUCCUCCUGGAGGAGACGCCCCCACAUCGGCGCCUCCCCAUAUGAGCAGCAGCAGCGAAUGCCUCGCUAAGGGCAUCUCUGGUGGUGUUUUUUAUAAAUUGUUUUAAAGAAGUUUGCCAGAUCUGUGACUGAAAAACAAUGGCGUUGAACUCCGAUUGACGUCCCGCGAAGGCUGGCGGCGCUUGAUGUGGUGGCUGGAGAAUAUCUCUGGGCAAAACAGUAGGCCAGAUCUAGGGGGAAAAAUCUGUAAUUCCAAGUUUUUGAUUGUGUAUUUCUUCCUUUUGGUAAAAAUAAAAUUUAGUUAUCUAGUA